UGAGGAAUAUUGGUCAAUGGGCGAGAGCCUGAACCAGCCAAGUAGCGUGCAGGACGACGGCCCUAUGGGUUGUAAACUGCUUUUAUGUGGGGAUAAAGUGCGUGACGUGUCAUGCAUUGCAGGUACCACAUGAAUAAGGACCGGCUAAUUCCGUGCCAGCAGCCGCGGUAAUACGGAAGGUCCGGGCGUUAUCCGGAUUUAUUGGGUUUAAAGGGAGCGUAGGCUGUCUAUUAAGCGUGUUGUGAAAUUUACCGGCUCAACCGGUGGCUUGCAGCGCGAACUGGUUGACUUGAGUAUGCAGGAAGUAGGCGGAAUUCAUGGUGUAGCGGUGAAAUGCUUAGAUAUCAUGACGAACUCCGAUUGCGCAGGCAGCUUACUGUAGCAUAACUGACGCUGAUGCUCGAAAGUGCGGGUAUCAAACAGG
rnacentral:rRNA from 1 species